CAACACCCCUUUCAACAUCCAAAAAUACAAGGAUGCCAUAGGGAAGGCCUAUCAAAGAGUAACUCUCUACAUUUGCAACCAUGAUGACUUCUUAAAUAAUGAUUGCAACACAGAGUGUGAAUCUGAAGAGGACAAUGAAGUUCAAGUAAAAGCAGUAGAAAGCCCACUGUCGGACACUGUGGUAUGGGAUUUUCCAGAUAAUCACAGCACCCCGGAAAGAGCACCUUCAAGAAAUAGGUAAGUUUUGUAUUGUGGAGGAUACACUGCGGCGACCGUGAAUAGUGAGGAGCCAAAAUACAUUAUUAUGUAUUAUAUUGUAAAUUCUGAAAUUAUUUAAAUUCUUUACAGGGGGUCAAACUUGCAAACUUCUUCUGAAGUAAGACUCUGAAAAAUGUCAUUAAUAAUUGUCAUACAGGCUACAAACAUAAAAUAUAUUAACUGUUCAUAUAUUUUUGAUAUUUAGACUCAAGGUCCCUGCUACAGGUAUGUUUUGGACACAGAAAUUUGUGUAUUGAGACACUAGACCAAUAAAAUCGUAGUUAACUUUAGAUUUUAAGAAAUGUUCUACUUUGCCCACUAAAUGUUUUUUAUUGCAGCACAUACACAAGUGUUUAUGCACCGA